GUGGGGAAUUUUGGACAAUGGGCGCAAGCCUGAUCCAGCCAUGCCGCGUGUGUGAAGAAGGUCUUCGGAUUGUAAAGCACUUUAAGUUGGGAGGAAGGGCAGUAAGUUAAUACCUUGCUGUUUUGACGUUACCGACAGAAUAAGCACCGGCUAACUUCGUGCCAGCAGCCGCGGUAAUACGAAGGGUGCAAGCGUUAAUCGGAAUUACUGGGCGUAAAGCGCGCGUAGGUGGUUUUGUAAGUUGGAGGUGAAAUCCCCGGGCUCAACCUGGGAACUGCCUCCAAAACUGCAUGACUAGAGUACGGUAGAGGGUAGUGGAAUUUCCUGUGUAGCGGUGAAAUGCGUAGAUAUAGGAAGGAACACCAGUGGCGAAGGCGACUACCUGGACUGAUACUGACACUGAGGUGCGAAAGCGUGGGGAGCAAACAGGAUUAGAUACCCGGGUAGUCC
rnacentral:rRNA from 1 species